UGUAGGAGUGAGCCUGCUCGCGAUACCGGACUGUCAGUCACCUCAUCUUUGGCUGACACUCCGCUAUCGCGAGCAGGCUCACUCCUACA
rnacentral:ncRNA from 2 species